rnacentral:rRNA from 1 species
UAAAAACCCCGACUUCGGAAGGGGUGUAUUUAUUAGAUACAAAACCAAUGCCCUUCGGGGCUCUUUGGUGAUUCAUGAUAACUAUACGAAUCGCACGGCCUUGCGCCGGCGAUGGUUCAUUCAAAUUUCUUCCCUAUCAACUUUCGAUGUUUGGGUAUUGGCCAAACAUGGUUGCAACGGGUAACGGAGGGUUAGGGCUCGACCCCGGAGAAGGAGCCUGAGAAACGGCUACUACAUCCAAGGAAGGCAGCAGGCGCGCAAAUUACCCAAUCCCGACUCGGGGAGGUAGUGACAAUAAAUACUGAUACAGGGCCCUUUCGGGCCUUGUAAUUGGAAUGAGUACAAUUUAAAUCCCUUAACGAGGAACGAUUGGAGGGCAAGUCUGGUGCCAGCAGCCGCGGUAAUUCCAGCUCCAAUAGCGUAUAUUAAAGUUGUUGUGGUUAAAAAGCUCGUAGUUGAACCUUGGGCCUGGCUGGCCGGUCCGCCUCACCGCGUGCACUGGUCCGGCCGGGCCUUUCCCUCUGUGGAACCCCAUACCCUUCACUGGGCGUGGCGGGGAAACAGGAAAUUAAUUUG